rnacentral:rRNA from 1 species
UAAUACGGAGGGUGCGAGCGUUGUCCGGAUUUAUUGGGUUUAAAGGGUGCGUAGGCGGUUUAUUAAGUCAGUGGUGAAAGACGGUCGCUCAACGAUUGCAGUGCCAUUGAUACUGGUAGACUUGAGUUCGUAUGAGGUAGCUGGAAUGGAUAGUGUAGCGGUGAAAUGCAUAGAUAUUAUCCAGAACUCCAAUUGCGUAGGCAGGUUACUAAUACGAUACUGACGCUGAUGCACGAAAGUGUGGGGAUCAAACAGG